AUCUUAGCCCCAUAAAAGAGCGAUUGCUAUCACCAUUUUGACGAAAGUGGAGAAGAACGGCGCCGCAGAAGGAUUGGACUAUUUUGCUUCAAGACUGACAUUUACAUAGAGUUGUAAAAGAGGGUACGACAAUUCUGCACAACUUCAAUAAACUCAAAUCAACGUGAUAUAUGCAACUAAUCUCAAGUGGUUUGUGUUUUUAUGUCGAUGAUUUCAUCUAAUUUUUAUUGGAUUAUUUUCAUUUUCCCCCAGUAUAUCUAUGAGCAUCAAAACAAAAAUGUAUUCAUGGACUAUCAUCAGAGGCAUAAUUGAAAGGAGGUCGUCAAUGUUAUCUUAUAUUUCUACUCAUUUUAGGAUGGGUUUAGAUCUAUUGUUCUUUUGUAUAAGCUUAAUGUAAUCUUCAACGAGUGUGAUUUCUUUGAUUAAAUAUCGGUAGAUCUGUAGCAUCAAAGGCGACUAAUCGUUUUAAAAGUUUUGUUAGAUCUUCCUCCUGGGAAAAAACCACUGGAUUGGAAUACAAGAAUGAGAAUAGAUGCUGGUGUAGCUAAAGGUUUGGAGUAUUUGCAUUAUAAAAUGAAGCCUCCUGUCAUAUAUCGUGACCUCAAAUGCUCCAACAUUUUGUUAAGCUACGAUUAUCAUCCCAAGUUAUCUGAUUUUGGCUUGGCAAAAGUAAGUCCGAUCGGUGAUAAGAAUCAUGUUACAACAAGAGUUAUGGGAACAUAUGGCUAUUGUGCUCUAGAGUACGGAAUGACAGGUCAAUUAACAAUCAAGUCUAACAUUUUUAGCUUUGAAGUUGCUCUUUUGGAGCUCAUCACUAGCAGAAAGGCAUUCGACAAUAGUAAACCUUUAACAGGAGGCUAAAAUUGCGAAAAGGCUGAAUAUAUAGUUGAACUGUGUAAACAAUGGCUCGUUGCAAGAAAAAUGUAUAUCUCAUUUGCAAACAAAGAAAAUCAUUUCAGACAGAUGAAGAGCAAUGGUGUAUCACUCAUGAGUGUGAUUUCUUUGAUUAAAUAUAGAUAAAUAUGUGCAGAAAAUAUUAUAAUAUUUUGUAUUACUUUUAAAAUAAGGUAACAAUUAGGAAUUGGAUUGAUGUACUCAUUCUUGUUGUUAUGUACUACUAUAGUUGGCUUUGAAUUGAAUGAUUAUAUUUAGAUAAGUUCUAUGUGUUGUUUUUGGAUUUCUAAA